CUAUGCGCCUUGCCAGCCCGCUCAGUCAGAGUUUGAUCCUGGCUCAGGAUGAACGCUAGCGGCAGGCUUAAUACAUGCAAGUCGUGGGGCAGCAUGACUGUAGCAAUACAGUUGAUGGCGACCGGCAAACGGGUGCGGAACACGUACGCAAUCUACCCAAAACUGGUGAAUAGCCCUCCGAAAGGAGGAUUAAUACACCGUAACCUAUUGAAGUGGCAUCACUUUAUUAGUAUAGCUCCGGCGGUUUUGGAUGAGCGUGCGGCUGAUUAGAUAGUUGGCGGGGUAACGGCCCACCAAGUCUGCGAUCAGUAACUGGUGUGAGAGCACGACCAGUCACACGGGCACUGAGACACGGGCCCG
rnacentral:rRNA from 1 species